rnacentral:rRNA from 1 species
GAUGAACGCUGGCGGCGUGCCUAAUACAUGCAAGUCGAGCAAAUGGAUUAAGAGCUUGCUCUUAUGAAGUUAGCGGCGGACGGGUGAGUAACACGUGGGUAACCUGCCCAUAAGACUGGGAUAACUCCGGGAAACCGGGGCUAAUACCGGAUAACAUUUUGAACCGCAUGGUUCGAAAUUGAAAGGCGGCUUCGGCUGUCACUUAUGGAUGGACCCGCGUCGCAUUAGCUAGUUGGUGAGGUAACGGCUCACCAAGGCAACGAUGCGUAGCCGACCUGAGAGGGUGAUCGGCCACACUGGGACUGAGACACGGCCCAGACUCCUACGGGAGGCAGCAGUAGGGAAUCUUCCGCAAUGGACGAAAGUCUGACGGAGCAACGCCGCGUGAGUGAUGAAGGCUUUCGGGUCGUAAAACUCUGUUGUUAGGGAAGAACAAGUGCUAGUUGAAUAAGCUGACACCUUGACGGUACCUAACCAGAAAGCCACGGCUAACUACGUGCCAGCCGCCGCGUAA